rnacentral:rRNA from 1 species
GAUGAACGCUAGCGGGAGGCCUAACACAUGCAAGCCGAGCGGUAGAGAUUCUUCGGAAUCUUGAGAGCGGCGUACGGGUGCGGAACACGUGUGCAACCUGCCUUUAUCUGGGAGAUAGCCUUUCGAAAGGAAGAUUAAUAUCCCAUAAUAUAUUGAUUGGCAUCAGUCGAUAUUGAAAGCCCCGGCGGAUAAAGAUGGGCACGCGCAAGAGUAGAUAGUUGUUAGGGUAACGGCCUACCAAGUCAGUGAUCUUUAGGGGGCCUGAGAGGGUGAUCCCCCACACUGGUACUGAGACACGGACCAGACUCCUACGGGAGGCAGCAGUGAGGAAUAUUGGACAAUGGGUGCAAGCCUGAUCCAGCCAUCCCUCGUGAAGGACGACGGCCCUAUGGGUUGUAAACUUCUUUUGUAUAGGGAUAAACCUUUCCACGUGUGGAAGCUGAAGGUACUAUACGAAUAAGCACCGGCUAACUCCGUGCCAGCCGCCGCCGUAAUAC